AAUAGAUACCCCGGUAGUCCACGCCGUAAACGAUGAGUACUAGGUGUAGGGGGUAUCGACCCCCUCUGUGCCGAAGCUAACGCAAUAAGUACUCCGCCUGGGGACUACGGCCGCAAGGCUAAAACUCAAAGGAAUUGACGGGGGCCCGCACAAGCAGCGGAGCGUGUGGUUUAAUUCGAUGAUACGCGAAGAACCUCACCCAGGUUUGACAUGCAUGUGGUACGGAUCUGAAAGGUGAAGGACCCUUCGGGGAGCAUGCACAGGUGUUGCACGGCCGUCGUCAGCUCGUGCCGUGAGGUGUUGAGUUAAGUCCCGCAACGAGCGCAACCCCUGUCGCCAGUUGAAUUUUUCUGGCGAGACUGCCGGUCAAAUACCGGAGGAAGGAGGGGAUGAUGUCAGGUCAGCGUGGCCCUUACGCCUGGGGCUACACACACGCUACAAUGGGCGGUACAACGGGCAGCCAAGGGGUGACCCGGAGCUAAUCCCGAUCAAAGCCGUCCUCAGUUCGGAUUGCAGGCUGAAACCCGCCUGCAUGAAGCCGGAGUUGC
rnacentral:rRNA from 1 species